UUCUCUCUGUCGUGGCAGCAUGAAACUUAAUUGGCUCAAAGAAAAAGGCUAAAGAGCCCAGCAUAGAUGGAUAUAUAGAUCGUCUACACUCUACAAAAUAAGCCCGGCUAGCUACUUGCUCUAGAGCUAGCAAAGGACAAAGGAAGGAGAUCCAUCUCUCUAAUUGAUUCGUUCUAGGUGCAGCUCGAGCAAGCAAACCAUGCAACCCAUGGAGGGGGUUCUGGUUGCUUUGGCAUCCUACGGCGCCACCAUGCUCGCCGAGAUGGCCAAAGAUAAGGUGGCCAUGCUAACCAGGGUCUCUGGCGAGAUCGACGACCUUGGCACCAAGCUCAGGGACCCUAAGAACAUCCUUGCCGAUGCUAAUAAGAGGAACAUCACCGACGAGAGCAUGUGGGCAUGGGUGGAGGAACUGAAGCGUGCCGUGCACGACGACGUCACUGACAUCCUCGACCGGUGUCGGCUCAAGGCCAUGGAAUAGGAUCCGUCCAAGGGCAUGCUGUUUAAUUUGCACGAUGAAUCCCCUGCACGCAUCACUAAAUUUGUAGGAAUUGAACCACUCCUUGUUAGGCGAUGUAAGAGCAUCUACAACCACACAUAGCAAAUUUGAGUCGUUCCCGGAUGGUGACCGAUCAUCCCUCA